AUUCACAAUUUGAUAUACAAAGCAAAGGUUUGAGUUAGUUUAAGGAAAUCCUUUCCCUUACUUCUGGGAAAUAAUUUAAAACUCUCUCUGUUUAUUUUAAGUUAAUCAAUCAAGAAUUUGAAGUACCCCUACUUAACACUUAGUAAGUCAUUAACAGAAAAAGUUCACACCCCGAAGAGUACAAGCACUGCCCUCUAGGCAGUGACAGGUAAAUUGGGAGGCUGUGAUUGGCUCCUGUGAAGUCGGAGAGAGACAGGAAGUGAAGUGGAGUAACUGCUUAUAAAAAAGCCAGCCCAAAGAUUCCUGAGGAGCAUUUUAGGAGGAAUUUGGUUGAAAAGGAGGUUUUUUUCCUGUGAUUCAUUCUCUGAGGCACUUUAGGAAGACCCAUUCAGCAUUGGUGAGUUGGGCUGAAGAAGCAUUCUGUGCUGCAUAGAUUCAGCAUUGUGACUGGAGCUGAAGGAAGAGUUUAUGCUAGUGACACCCUAGUUGAAGAGGCUACGGGACUUCCACGGAGAGAUCAGAACUUUGUCGAGGUGCAAGCUGAAUUUUCUUCGGAUAGGAACUCAAGGGUGGAUCUUCCUACCUUAAGCCUCUCCCCUAUCUGAACAAUCAUCCAAACAGCUGCCAAAGUGAAUUUUCUAAAGCAAACAACCAAGGACUUCCAAUUACUUCUAGGAUAAACUGAGCUGUAUAGAGGAUGGGCAGGAGAGGGAAGAUGCUGAAAACAAGGAGACCAACUGAAACAGUCCAGGUGAAGGAUGAUGAGGGUAUCGAUCAAAGUAGAGGCUAUAUGUGAAUCAAGAUGUUGCGGAGGG